GAUGAACGCUGGCGGCGUGCUUAACACAUGCAAGUCGAACGGAAAGGCUCCUGCUUGCAGGGGUACUCGAGUGGCGAACGGGUGAGUAACACGUGGGUGAUCUGCCCUGCACUUCGGGAUAAGCCUGGGAAACUGGGUCUAAUACCGGAUAGGACGAUGGUUUGGAUGCCAUUGUGGAAAGUUUUUCGGUGUGGGAUGAGCUCGCGGCCUAUCAGCUUGUUGGUGGGGUAAUGGCCUACCAAGGCGUCGACGGGUAGCCGGCCUGAGAGGGUGUACGGCCACAUUGGGACUGAGAUACGGACCAGACUCCUACGGGAGGCAGCAGUGGAGAAUAUUGCACAAUGGGCGCAAGCCUGAUGCAGCGGCGCCGCGUGGGGGAUGACGGCCUUCGGGUUGUAAACUCCUUUCGCUAGGGACGAAGCGAAAGUGACGGUACCUGGAGAAGAAGCACCGGCUAACUACGUG
rnacentral:rRNA from 1 species